rnacentral:sRNA from 1 species
AGAGCAAAAGAAACAAAAAGUUUCUGAAAUAAAGACUGGAAUUGAUGAAGCUGAAGCUUUGAUUCGAAAAAUGGACCUCGAGGCAAGAAGUUUGCAGCCAAACGUCAAGGGUGUGCUUCUUGCUAAGUUGCGGGAGUAUAAAUCAGAUCUAAA